rnacentral:rRNA from 1 species
UCUCAAAGAUCAAGCCAUGCAUGUCUAAGUACAAGCCUCACUAAGGUGAAACCGCGAAUGGCUCAUUAAAUCACACCUAAUCUACUGGAUAGUUAACAGUUACUUGGAUAACUGCGGUAAUUCUGGAGCUAAUACAUGCACAAAGCCCCGAACUUACGUGAGGGGCGCUUUUAUUAGAUCAAAACCAAACGGCUCCGGCUGUAUCCUUGGUGACUCUGAAUAACUUUGGGCUGAUCGCAUGGCCUAGCGCCGGCGACAUAUCCUUCGAAGGUGUGCCCUAUCAACUGUCGACUGUGGCAUAGACGCCCACAGUGGUUUUGACGGGUAACGGGGAAUCAGGGUUCGAUUCCGGAGAGGGAGCCUUAAAAACGGCUACCACAUCUAAGGAAGGCAGCAGGCACGCAAAUUACCCAAUGACCGAAGGUCGAGGUAGUGACAAAAAAUAACGAUACGGGACUCAUCUGAGGCCCCGUAAUCGGAAUGAGUACACUUUAAAACCGUCCCCGAGGAUCUAUUGGAGGGCAAGUCUGGUGCCAGCAGCCGCGGUAAUUCCAGCUCCAAUAGCGUAUAUUAAAGUUGUUGUGGUUAAAAAGCUCGUAGUUGGAUCUCGGCGGUCUGGGAGCGGUUCGCUCGCUAGAGUGCUACUGC